UGGGGAAUUUUGGACAAUGGGCGAAAGCCUGAUCCAGCAAUGCCGCGUGUGUGAAGAAGGCCUUCGGGUUGUAAAGCACUUUUGUCCGGAAAGAAAUCCUUGGCUCUAAUACAGUCGGGGGAUGACGGUACCGGAAGAAUAAGCACCGGCUAACUACGUGCCAGCAGCCGCGGUAAUACGUAGGGUGCAAGCGUUAAUCGGAAUUACUGGGCGUAAAGCGUGCGCAGGCGGUUUGCUAAGACCGAUGUGAAAUCCCCGGGCUCAACCUGGGAACUGCGUUGGUGACUGGCAGGCUAGAGUAUGGCAGAGGGGGGUAGAAUUCCACGUGUAGCAGUGAAAUGCGUAGAGAUGUGGAGGAAUACCGAUGGCGAAGGCAGCCCCCUGGGCCAAUACUGACGCUCAUGCACGAAAGCGUGGGGAGCAAACAGGAUUAGAUACCCUGGUAGUCCACGCCCUAAACGAUGUCAACUAGUUGUUGGGGAUUCAUUUCCUUAGUAACGUAGCUAACGCGUGAAGUUGACCGCCUGGGGAGUACGGUCGCAAGAUUAAAACUCAAAGGAAUUGACGGGGUCAUA
rnacentral:rRNA from 1 species